UUGUGUUGGGCUUCUUCAUGAUACGCGUGUCCGAAACUGCCCGACACACAAAGCUGAGGUAAUGCUACCGUGGAAGACGACAACCUCGAGUCUCACGGAGGCCAAAGACAGAGAGCACCGUCGCAACUCAUAAAUCACAGCUCAUCUUUGCCCUCACGAGGGCGAGGUCCCAAUCGAUGGCGGCAUUUGAUUCUUCAACUUCCACAAGUUGUCGCUAUGGCUGGGGCGGAUCCAAAAUCGUGAUUUGAAUCUUCAACCAUUUGGUUAAAGUUCGCGCAAAACCUCAAUCAACUACUAAAGAUAAUGUUUGGAAUCUCUUGUGGCGAAUCUUUCUUUUGCUUGGAACCACUGCUGCACUAAUUGGUUACUCCUCCAUCUCUUCCUCCGUCUCAAAAGAGAAACAAAUGUCAUUAUGCAAAUGAAGUUAGAAUAUUGAAGUUAAUUCAAUGCAUUUGAAUUAUUAGGACACAAGGAUCUACCAGUAAUAGCAAGAACAGCUGGGAGAUUAGCCGGUGGUGUUUGUAUUACCACUAUGUUUCUGUUAUAUAUAUAUAUAUAUAUAUCCCUUUUGCAUAUUUUUUUUCCUCUUUGGUUCAAAGGCCUCGGAUUCAUGUUCUAUGCACAGCCAGGCAACCGUAUAUGCAAGAUUGGCUGAAGCUUCUGCCCAAAAGACUGGCUUAUUGGACAGUGGUGCCGAUGCAGAAAAGUUGAUUGAUGAUGCUGGGAGCUUCUGCCCAAAAGACUGGCUUAUUGGACAGUGGUGCCGAUGCAGAAAAGUUGAUUGAUGAUGCUGGGCUUCCAAAUGUUCUACCUGUAUCUGCUGAAAGUGCUGGGAUGUUACCGAAACGCUCAGAGUUAAGAACGCAGCAGAGAUAAGUUAAAGAAGAGAGAAGGAGAAAUAGAGGUUAGAUGACAUUAGAGAUUGGAACUUCCAUUAAAUGAGAAUUCAGAUUUACAAACAGGUCUUGAUUGAAGAACAGGGAAGAUAAUAACAGAAAGGGAAAAAUAAAGUAAAAAGAAAGAAGAAACCUUGUAGGCCUUAGGCUUUUCUCAACAGUCCUAUCAUUACCAUCCCUUGGGAGACAAGCCUUGUCCUCAAGGCUGAAAUUAGGAAAUUGCCCCAACAUAUCAGCUUCAUCGAUCCAGGUUGCUUCAUCUUCUGUCUUUCCUUGCCACUGUGUUAAUAAUUGGCGAACUGGCUGAUUGUUGAUCAUUGUUGUACGGUUUUAGCAGACCUUUUUAGGCUGGAGCACAGGUGCCUCAUGGUUGUUUAAAUUCUUUGGUAAAGUAUAUAACAUAGAGUGGUUGCCAAUAACCCUUUUCAGCUGGGAGACAUGAAAAUAGGGUGUAUCUUGGCGUCUGAAGGGAGUUUCAUCUUGUAAUCUACUGCACCAAUCUUGUCAAUGAUUUCAAAUGACCUAUAACCUGGCAGCCAGCUUAGCAUUAAUUCUGGUAGCUACAGAUUGUUGACGGUGAGGACGAAGUUUCAAGAAUACUUUGUCUCCAACAGAGAA